rnacentral:rRNA from 1 species
CACGCCCUAAACGAUGUCAACUAGGUGUUGGUGGGGUUAAACCCAUUAGUACCGUAGCUAACGCGUGAAGUUGACCGCCUGGGGAGUACGGCCGCAAGGUUAAAACUCAAAGGAAUUGAC